rnacentral:rRNA from 1 species
UACGUAGGGUGCAAGCGUUGUCCGGAAUUAUUGGGCGUAAAGAGCUCGUAGGCGGUCUGUCGCGUCUGCUGUGAAAACCUAGGGCUUAACCCUGGGCCUGCAGUGGGUACGGGCAGACUAGAGUGCGGUAGGGGAGACUGGAAUUCCUGGUGUAGCGGUGAAAUGCGCAGAUAUCAGGAGGAACACCGGUGGCGAAGGCGGGUCUCUGGGCCGAUACUGACGCUGAGGAGUGAAAGCGUGGGGAGCAAACAGG